GACACAAGUGGAUCAUUUACUUCCUUUUCCAGUUACAGUCCAGGUCAUAUAGAAUUUGUGCCUGUGGAAAAGUUUUCUGGAGGACAAAAAUUCACAAUUUUCAGGAAGAAAGAUGGAAUCAAUGUACAAGCAUUUAAAGCAAAUGCUAGUAAACUAACGAAGGAAAAACCAAAGUAUAAUCUUUGGAGCUCCAAUUGCAUACAUUUUGCCAUGGACUGUCUUGGGCUGACGGCAAAGAAGUGUUGAUCUUAAACCCUCUUUAACCCCGCCCCCACGUCCAGUUCUUUCUUUUACUUUCAGACAAAUACAGAAGUGAAAGGGUAGAGCAAAAGUGACUGUGUAUGACCGAGCAUUGAUCAUGGCAUUAUCACUGGACAACUUGAAGACCGGAGUGGGAUUUGAUCCAAUAGGCUUCAGUGUUGUCAAACACUAUCAUGAUGAAUACAUUGAAAAUUCUGAGAUUGGAGAUCUCUUUAUGGUGGGAUCAAAUGUCAAAGGGGUCUAUCAUGCUGGCGUGUGCUUUGAUGAAGAUCUUAUUGUUCAUUUCAUGAAUCGCUGUCGAAAUGAGAGGGGGGGUGGCUCAUGUUCUAUCUCUUCCAGUCUCAGUCCAGGUCUUAUAGAAUUUGCACUUGUGGCUGGGUUUUCUGGAGGACAAAAAUUUACAAUUUACAGGAAGGAUGCUGGAAUUGAUAUACAAACAUUUAAAGCAAAUGUUAGAAAACGAAUGAAGGAAGAACCAAAGUAUGAUCUUUUAAACUACAACUGCAUUCAUUUUGCCAUGGAGUGUCUUGGGGUGACGGCAGAGGAGUGGUCAUCUUAAACAAUCUUGUUUUAAGUCAGUAAUCCUGAUCAACUGACUGGAUGCUGUUGCUGUUGGACAGACAGACGCGUCACACCUCUGAUGACGAUAGAGUAGAUUUCAUUCUGUUUUACAUGUUGAUGGUUUCAUCAACAUUAUUUCUGCUGUAUUUGCUCUACAAAAACAUUAAAUUUCAUUUGACUAUUA